AGAGUUUGAUCCUGGCUCAGGACGAACGCUGGCGGCGUGCCUAAUACAUGCAAGUCGAACGAACUCUGGUAUUGAUUGGUGCUUGCAUCAUGAUUUACAUUUGAGUGAGUGGCGAACUGGUGAGUAACACGUGGGAAACCUGCCCAGAAGCGGGGGAUAACACCUGGAAACAGAUGCUAAUACCGCAUAACAACUUGGACCGCAUGGUCCGAGUUUGAAAGAUGGCUUCGGCUAUCACUUUUGGAUGGUCCCGCGGCGUAUUAGCUAGAUGGUGGGGUAACGGCUCACCAUGGCAAUGAUACGUAGCCGACCUGAGAGGGUAAUCGGCCACAUUGGGACUGAGACACGGCCCAAACUCCUACGGGAGGCAGCAGUAGGGAAUCUUCCACAAUGGACGAAAGUCUGAUGGAGCAACGCCGCGUGAGUGAAGAAGGGUUUCGGCUCGUAAAACUCUGUUGUUAAAGAAGAACAUAUCUGAGAGUAACUGUUCAGGUAUUGACGGUAUUUAACCAGAAAGCCACGGCUAACUAUGUGCCAGCAGCCGCGGUAAUACGUAGGUGGCAAGCGUUGUCCGGAUUUAUUGGGCGUAAAGCGAGCGCAGGCGGUUUUUUAAGUCUGAUGUGAAAGCCUUCGGCUCAACCGAAGAAGUGCAUCGGAAACUGGGAAACUUGAGUGCAGAAGAGGACAGUGGAACUCCAUGUGUAGCGGUGAAAUGCGUAGAUAUAUGGAAGAACACCAGUGGCGAAGGCGGCUGUCUGGUCUGUAACUGACGCUGAGGCUCGAAAGUAUGGGUAGCAAACAGGAUUAGAUACCCUGGUAGUCCAUACCGUAAACGAUGAAUGCUAAGUGUUGGAGGGUUUCCGCCCUUCAGUGCUGCAGCU
rnacentral:rRNA from 1 species